rnacentral:lncRNA from 1 species
UCUCAAGGAUAUGGUCGUCGGGCACUCCCUAAACACUAAACCAGGCUCGAGGCCGGUCAAGCAAUGCGUAUAUAUGUUGAUUCCAUGAGGAGAAACAUAAGGUCAUAACCAACGAAGUAGCUAAGGUAUUAGUUGCCGGCUUCAUUAGAGAAAUCUGACGGCCUAAAUGUCUGGUUAAUCCAGUCCUUUACCAAAAUAGAGAAAGGAAUGGAGGAUGUGUUUUGAUUAUAUAC